UCCCUGGUAGUAUAUCGGUUAGUACACGCGCCUGUCAUAUUAGUGCAUUACCGCGCGAAAGCUGGGUUCGACUCCCAGCCAGGGAG
rnacentral:tRNA from 1 species